rnacentral:tRNA from 1 species
GCCUGGGUGGCUUAGUCGGUUAAGCAUCUGGCUCUUGCUCUCAGGGUCGUGGGUUCAAGCCCUGCACUGGGCC